UACGUAGGGGGCGAGCGUUGUCCGGAUUUAUUGGGCGUAAAGAGCUCGUAGGCGGUUUGGUAAGUCGGGUGUGAAAUCUCCACGCUCAACGUGGAGGGGCCACUCGAUACUGCCAUGACUCGAGUCCGGUAGAGGAGUGUGGAAUUCCCGGUGUAGCGGUGAAAUGCGCAGAUAUCAGGAAGAACACCAAUGGCGAAGGCAGCUCUCUGGGACGGUACUGACGCUGAGACGCGAAAGCCAGGGGAGCAAACGGG
rnacentral:rRNA from 1 species